CCUACGGGUGGCAGCAGUGAGGAAUAUUGGUCAAUGGACGCAAGUCUGAACCAGCCAUGCCGCGUGCAGGAAGACGGCUCUAUGAGUUGUAAACUGCUUUUGUACGAGGGUAAAUCCCGAUACGUGUAUCGGGUUGAAAGUAGCGUACGAAUAAGGAACGGCUAACUCCGUGCCAGCAGCCGCGGUAAUACGGAGGAUUCAAGCGUUAUCCGGAUUGAUUGGGUUUAAAGGGUGCGUAGGCGGUUCGAUAAGUUAGAGGUGACAUCCCGGGGCUCACCUCCGGCACUGCCUCUGAUACUGUCGGUCUUGAGUUUAGUUGCGGUAGGCGGCCUGUCUUGUGUAGCGGUUAAAUGCAUAGCGAUCAUAC
rnacentral:rRNA from 1 species